rnacentral:rRNA from 1 species
GGCUACACACGUGCUACAAUGGGUAGUACAGAGAGUCGCAAAGCCGUGAGGUGGAGCUAAUCUCAGAAAACUAUUCUUAGUUCGGAUUGUACUCUGCAACUCGAGUACAUGAAGUUGGAAUCGCUAGUAAUCGCGAAUCAGCAAUGUCGCGGUGAAUACGUUCUCGGGUCUUGUACACACCGCCCGUCACACCACGAGAGUUGGUUGCACCUGAAGUAGCAGGCCUAACCGCAAGGAGGGAUGCUCCGAGGGUGUGAUUANCGAUUGGGGUGAAGUCGUAACAAGGUAUCCGUACGGGAACGU